AUCAUCUUCAGCGCCUGGAUUACCCAUAAAGAUGAUGCCGGAGGAGGAGGAGGGGGGCCACCGCCGUAAAACAAGAAGACGAGAGAGGAGGGGGGCCAAAGCGAAUGUUUUUGUGGUCUCUUGGCGUUUUGGAUGGCGUCAGUCGUUGCCUCUUUUCACUUAAUGUUUCCGACGAUGAGGAGGCAGUGGAUGGCUCGUUACUUUCGCCUUCUUGCCAUUGUUUGUACAGAGGAAAAUCCCGUUCCAAACGUAUACGCACUCAUGGGUGGAAACUAUAGCCUCCACUCUGGACCAACUGAAUUAUUGAGCAUCAGUAAACAGGAAGAGAAGAUCCCACUGGAAUGCAGUGGGAUGAUGAGCGGAGUCCUCACCCUCCUUUUUCACCACAGCAUGAUGUGCAGUGGAGAAGGAUGCAGGCUCUUGUGCAGCGGAGACUUGUGGUCCUCCUGGAGCAUCUUCACCAUGGCCUCUAGCUUAGUCACCUUCCUCUCCAGUCCUAUGUGACCCUCACUGCGGAACGAAAAGAAUCACUUCCAAUAAGUAGGUCUUGUCAAUACUUUCAGUCAUAGAGUGGAC